AAAUUGAAGAGUUUGAUCAUGGCUCAGAUUGAACGCUGGCGGCAGGCCUAACACAUGCAAGUCGAACGGUAACAGGAAGCAGCUUGCUGCUUUGCUGACGAGUGGCGGACGGGUGAGUAAUGUCUGGGAAACUGCCUGAUGGAGGGGGAUAACUACUGGAAACGGUGGCUAAUACCGCAUAACGUCGCAAGACCAAAGAGGGGGACCUUCGGGCCUCUUGCCAUCAGAUGUGCCCAGAUGGGAUUAGCUAGUUGGUGAGGUAACGGCUCACCAAGGCGACGAUCCCUAGCUGGUCU
rnacentral:rRNA from 2 species